rnacentral:misc_RNA from 1 species
GUUUUUUCCCCACAUUUUCAAGAAUCAAAGAUCAAAAAUCAAGAAUCUUUCUGUAUAGACAACAUUGUAUUGUAUAUACCAUGUUGUCUUUCACCCCACUUCAAUCCAAGCCAACCCCAACUUCCAAUUCUAAUCGUUUCUCUAAUCUCACCAACCCCACUAGCAGUACCAGCCGCCGCCGGCAUUUCUCUGUCUCUUCUCCGUCACAAGUCAGUCACCACCAUGGACGCCGUCGUCUGAGUAUCAAAGCUAUUGAUGCUGCACAGCCUUAUGAUUAUGAAGCAUUGGUGUCAAAUCAAUAUGCUCAGUCAGGUAGGCUAAAAAUUGCUAUAGUGGGG